rnacentral:misc_RNA from 1 species
CGUCGCCAAGCAGUCUAAACUUGAGAGGGGGAUAGUGAAAACAACAAAACCCCAACUCUGCUCCUUCAGAGAACAAGCACUCCCUUGUCGAAUUCGCUCUCUAGGGUUUCACAGUGGAGGGCUUUUUCUCUGGUUCUGCUUAAUUUCUACCUAAAUAAGCAAAGCUUUUCACUCGUAGCAUGAUUCCUUGACGUCUUGAGCGGUUUCCCGGUUGAUUUACGAAGAUAAUUUGGAGGUGAUGUGAGGAUUUGAUAGUGGAAUUAUUAGGGAUUUUACAUGAUCAGCUGAUACUCGCAACUCCGCUACAAUUUUCCUUCUCUUUUUCG